GACGUAGGGGGCCAGCGUUGUUCGGAAUUACUGGGUGUAAAGGGUUCGUAGGCGGUUUGUCGCGUCUGCUGUGAAAACUCGGGGCUUAACUCCGGGCCUGCAGUGGGUACGGGCAGACUAGAGUGCGGUAGGGGAGACUGGAAUUCCUGGUGUAGCGGUGAAAUGCGCAGAUAUCAGGAGGAACACCGGUGGCGAAGGCGGGUCUCUGGGCCGUAACUGACGCUGAGGAGCGAAAGCGUGGGGAGCGAACAGG
rnacentral:rRNA from 1 species